GUAGCAGGCUUGACCGUAUGGUUAAGCUGUCCACUUAGUAAGCGGGAGAUCAUGGGUUCGAUUCCCAUCUGCUCCA
rnacentral:tRNA from 1 species